GAUGAAGAACGUAGCGAAAUGCGAUAAGUAAUGUGAAUUGCAGAGUUCAGUGAAUCAUCGAAUCUUUGAACGCACAUUGCGCCCGUUAGUAUUCUGACGGGCAUGCCUGUCCGAGCGUCAUUAUCACCCCUCAAGCCCCGGCUUGGUGUUGGGCUCUCGGUGGUCGUCUCCGACCACCCGUCUCAAAGAUAGUGACGGCGUCCCAGAGGGAACCGGUACGAGGAGCUUUCACGAGCAUGUACGCGGGACGACUCUGCGGGCGACGGUCUUAUUUACUUUAUAUACAAGUGUUGACCUCGGAUCAGGUAGGAAUACCCGCUGAACUUAAGCAUAUCAAUAAGCGGAGGA
rnacentral:misc_RNA from 1 species